AACGAACGCUGGCGGCAGGCUUAACACAUGCAAGUCGAACGCCCCGCAAGGGGAGUGGCAGACGGGUGAGUAACGCGUGGGAACGUGCCCUUCGCUUCGGAAUAGCCCCGGGAAACUGGGAGUAAUACCGAAUACGCCGUAUUGGGAAAGAUUUAUCGGCGAAGGAUCGGCCCGCGUUAGAUUAGGUAGUUGGCGGUGUAAUGGACCACCAAGCCUACGAUCUAUAGCUGGUCUGAGAGGAUGAUCAGCCACACUGGGACUGAGACACGGCCCAGACUCCUACGGGAGGCAGCAGUGGGGAAUCUUGGACAAUGGGCGCAAGCCUGAUCCAGCCAUGCCGCGUGAGUGAAGAAGGCCUUAGGGUUGUAAAACUCUUUCGCCGGAGAAGAUAAUGACGGUAUCCGGAGAAGAAGCCCCGGCUAACUUCGUGCCAGCCGCCGCGGUAA
rnacentral:rRNA from 1 species